rnacentral:rRNA from 1 species
UACGUAGGGGGCAAGCGUUGUCCGGAAUUACUGGGCGUAAAGCGCGCGUAGGCGGUUUGAUAAGUUGGUGGUGAAAGCCCCGGGCUCAACCUGGGAAUUGCCUUAAGACUGUCAGGCUAGAGUACGGGAGAGGGUGGCGGAAUUCCAGGUGUAGGAGUAAAAUCCGUAGAUAUCUGGAGGAACAUCAGUGGCGAAGGCGACUACCUGGACUGAUACUGACACUGAGGUGCGAAAGCGUGGGGAGCAAACAGG